GAUCAGAGCGAAGUUGUGUUGGCAGCUCUGGCCCAGGAAACAGUCAAGGCUGAGGAGCAACGAGGUAAAGAGAACGAUAGAGCUGUGGUAAAGCAGGAUGUUGCGAGAUGGAGUGGGAUGCUCUGGAGAAGAAAGUCCAAGUGAUGGAACAAAGAGGAUAAGAGGGUUUGAGGAGAGUGAGAUUGGGAAACAUAGGAAGGUGGCCUAUACUGAGUACUGGUCUACCUAACUCAGUAUUGUCUACAUUAACCGGGAGUGGAUUGCAGGCAGGGUUCUCUCCCACCCUUACGUGGAGAUGCCAGGAUUUGAGCCUGGGACCUUCUGCAUGCAAGGCAGAUACUCUAUCACUGAGCUACAGCUCCUUACCUAACAAGCUGCUGUGCAAGGUGGAGUGAAUGAUGGACUGAAUCUCUACUAUACUUUCUUGGUCACCAAAUACCACCACCUAGAAUGGAGUUUGCGGAGAUCUGCACAACCUGUAGCCCACCAAGGCACUUGGGUGGCCAAAAUUCAGGGCUGAAGUCAACUUACUCAGUAAUUAAAGGUUCUGUCCCUCAAUUUUCAGGGCCAAAGCCCCUACCCAAGGCAGAUCCCAAGUUCUUCAGUAGUACCGGGGCAUUUUUGCUUCUUCAGAAAUGGCUGCACAAGAAUCAGGAUGCCAUGAGUCCAUUAAGCAGCCAGUGUAGUUGCCAUGCGUAAAAAGCCUGUCUGUUUGGUGUGGGUGGAGGAACACAUUAAGCCUCUUAAGCAAAGACAAUACAAGACCUGGAAUACCAGGCAUUCUUCAGAAGAAGAGAGAGACCACCUGCCAGAUCAAGGCACCUGAGAUCUGAGGUCAGCAGUAAAUUUAGGAGGUGGGGAUUACCGCAAAGACAGGCUUGUGAGCUCCGUUCCCACGCUGUGCUGGAGCUGUGGAUGCUGUGAGCUGUGUUCUGGUAUGCGCAAAAGGACUGCUACCAUUAUAAAGGUGUCCAAGUAGCUCGCACACUCUUUCCCUUUGAAACAGAGAAAAUCACAGCCUUAAACCAUGGGAAACCAAUUCUCCCUGUGGCCUUUACUGAAAGAGUCUUUACUCAUUUUGGAAGGUUUCUUCUUCCUUUUCCUCUCCUCCAGGGACAGUCUAUAUGUUCUUGUCACGUUGCAGAGAACUGAUCACAAGUGCUCUCUGUGGGAGGUAGAAAAUGUGGAAGACUUGGUCUGUUGGGCGAAAAUAGCAAAAACCCAGAGUGGGGUUUCUCUGAACAGGGUGGGGUGUAUACAGGGGUGCCAACUUGAAUAAAAUAUUGGGUGGGGCCAGGAAAGGCCUACGCUGCACGAUCAAUCACAAGGCACACACCAUUUGAAUGGCAAUGCCCAUCAACUUUGGGGGGGGGGGCAGAGCCCUCAAAUAUUUACUCGGGAAAGUUUAAUGGGAAGGGAGGGGAACAGGAAACUAGUUUUCUUUGAACCACUCAAGAAAUCUGGGCUGUAUAUCUUCGGCACGAUUUUUUCUUACCUCUGGAAUGAAAACCUAUCCGUUCUUACUUGUGACCACGCAUGGUUACAAACGUUUCUCAUAUGAUACUUUUAUCACUGGAAUGACGCGUGGGAAUCAGCCUUGACACCGAAAUGAGUUGUGGGUUUUAAUCUUCGGAGAAAAUUUGCCGCGUAAAUAAUACAGUGUUAUGACUUCGUACUGAAAAGGCGAUACAUCUCCUUGUAGCUGGCUUGUAGCUGAUUUGAAAAUAAUGUUAUGACUUCUUGCUUCUAGAUUCCCUUUAAAAAAAAAAAGGCUGUUCAUGCUCACUGAUCAAUAUGGAAUGAAAUUCAAUUUAUCAACUAAGGAUUCUCAAGUGCCUCUCCGAAUUUAAAUGGGAAAGUUAUUAUGGUGCAUCUUUUUAAAGAGCCUCAUGUUGCGUUAGGCAUUAUAGUUGCUGAGUGGAUGGAUGUUCGCUCUUUUAACUACACUACCUGCAAAAUGAAAAUUAUGCCAUAUAUCUUUUCUUUUUUAAAAAAGAGCCUUGCAAUGUUAAGUGGGUCCUCUUAGGUGCAUUACUGCAAUUCAAAAAUAGGCUUUGCUUGGGUUUGACUGGCAAUGCAUAUCUUAAGUGCUCCAGGGAUUGGAGAACAAAGAUAUUGAUAUUGUGUGAAUUCUCUUCCUUAAAAACAGAUGAAUACAUUCUGGCUGUGCGACAUCAAAAGAUGCAGACAGUGCCAGACUAUCCGCUAAUGUCAGAAUGAUGUUUUUGAUAAAAGCUUUAGAUGACAGGCGUGGAUGGCCAAAUUAAUGGUGUCUGGAGUAACACCUGUCACAGCACCACAGUUUUAUCAGGUUUUUUUAAAGGUACAACGUGAAUCUUUUUUCAUAUUUUGAGAUUCACGACAGGCUCGUUGUAAGCAUCCUGGGUUUAGAAUCUCAUGUUGAAUGCAGAUAAUUGUGUUUCUUUCAGCUUAUAGACAGAGAGAACAUUUCUCUCCUUUGAGGGUAGCAGAACAGCUGGUUCCCACAUCCAUGACUUCAGAGCGAUGACUUGUACGUGUGAAUGAGCCACUGCAGAUCUAGCACCACAGAUGGAACUCUUACCACAAAUUCAAUACAGCAUUACACAAGGGCCCUGCUGUCUCAUGGUAGCCAGUGAGAUGCCUGCAGGAGGCUUGCAAACAAGGCUUGAGAGCAACAGCAUUCUCUUCACUUAUACCCCAUUAUCAGGAAUUCAGAAUCAAAUCCUAGCCAUCAUGGCACGUACCUGUUGAUAAGGGGUACUCAAGAAUAACCGUGUCCAAUUCCAUUGUUGUUGUUGUUCACCAGAGUUUUGCCCCUGUUAGCAGAGUGGCUUUUGGUGACAGCACCAGGCAUCUGCAGCCUCCACCCAACACCCAUUCCACGGAAUGAUACAGCCUUGAGCAUUAUGGGUAAAUAAACAUGGCGGCUGUUAACAACAGCUCUGCUGCUGCAGCAGCAGCAGCAAGGGAAGCAUAAGCCUAUUCAUACUGUCUAAUUCAGGGCUGGGGAGCUUGAUGCCCUAUAGAGGUGCUGUUGAACUCCAACUUCCAUCAGCCCCAGGGAUGAUGGGAAUUGUGGUCUCGUGACAUUUGGAGGGCCAUAGGUCCCUCACCUCUCUCCUGAUGGGUGAUGAAUGAUGGGCAUGAAUGGCAAAGCACCAAGUAUACCCAUUUGCACUCAUUUGUUACUAACCCGUUUCAGAAAUCAGACUAAAUGGGGACUCAUUCAAUUCCCUUUUACAUUGGUUCUGAAACAGCUCUCUAUGACAACAGAUGAUAAAGGUAAAGGUAAAGGACUCCUGACAGUUAAGUCCAGUCGCGAACGACUCUGGGGUUGCAGCGCUCAUCUCGCUUUACUGGCCAAGGAGCCGGCGUGGCUAGCAUGACUAAGCUGCCUCUGGAAAACCAGAGCCGUUUAUCUUCCCGCCGGAGUGGUACCUAUUUAUCUACUUGCACUUUGGGGCGUGCUUUUGAACUGCUAGGUUGGCAGGAGCUGGGACCGAACAAUGGGAGCUCACCCCGUCGCAGGGAUUUGAACCACGACCUUCUGAUCAGCAAGCCCUAGACUCAGUGGUUUAGAUCACAGCGCCACCCGAGUCCAAUAAAAAUAAAGGGGGCCCAGAGUGCGGUAGCAGGUUUGCUUCUUGCCACUCCUAUUUGAAGAACAGUUAAUAUUGCUUUAAGCACGAGCUGGACCUGAUCAGAAGAGUAUGUGGGGAAUCUGACCUGCGGAGUCAAAAGCCGAAAGGUCAUGUAUGCAGUUGAAGUGUCUUUGUAGUGGGGAUGCCCUCUGCGCCGUCACAACUGUUUACACAGUUGUUGCCGCUUAAUUAAAAGUCCUUAAAAACGAUGCUGCUUAAGGAAUCGUUGUUUUUAUUAUUGUUCAGUUAGGUGCUUCUUUUCUCGUGGGAAGAGGUCUUGUUGUAUUGAAACGCGACUAAUUGGAUAACGAUCUGUAUGAAGUGCUUAUGGCUGCAGGGAUGCAGUCUCCAGGGAACUCAAUGGGACUGCAUUGGAACGAAAAAUAAUGUAAAAUACGUGAAUUCAAAUAUCGUAAUGUACAAGGAAUCAAAGUGAUGGUCAAACUUCCAGAAAUAAUAGAAGGUUGUUCUGCAUGGAAUUAUUCUGACUGCAGGGCUGUAGUUUUAUAACUAUAUACAUGAGGAUGCACACAGUGGAUUCAGGUAGCAAGUGUUUUAAUAUGAAAAACAUCUUUAAAGUGAUUUUAUGUUAGCCACAAACAUAGAACCAAACCUAGCAGCCGUAUAAGAACAUAAGAAGAGCACGCAGGAUCAGGCCGGUGUCUCAUCUAGUCCAGCAUCCUGCUGUUACAGUGGCUACCCUGGUGUCUGCAGGAAACCUGCAAGCAGGAUCCGAGCACAAGAGCACUCUCCUUUCCUAUGGUUUCCAUGCAACUGAUAUCCAGCAGUAUUGCUGCCUCACAACUGUGGGGCAGAGCAUAGCCACCGUGGCUGGUAGCCACCAAUAGCCGUCUCCUCCAUGAAUUUGUCCAAUCCUCUUUUAAGGCUAUCCAAGUUGGUGUCAAUCACUGCCUCCUGUGGGAGUGAGUUCCAUAGCCUACUGCAUGAAUAAGUACUUUGAAGAAGUCAUUGGUGCAGACUGUUGUCUGUCUCUCUCUCUCUUUCUCUCUGUGUGUGUAUGUUAGUGUGUGUGUUCAAAAUAAACUUACAUUCUUAUUUUGUACAGUCAUACCUUGUGUUGCGUUUGCUUCAGGUUGAGCGUUUUCAGGUUGCAUCCCGUGGCGACCCGGAAGUACUGGAAAGGGUUACUUCUGGGUUUCGCUGCUCGCGCAUGCGUAGCUGCUCAAAAUGACGUCAUGCGCAGAAGUGGUGAGACGCGCAUAGGCGGGUUGCGUUCUGCUUAUGUUGCGAACGGGGCUCACAACAUGAGCGAGGUAGUAUGUGUCAGUCCUAUGUCCAGAUUUCCAGCCAAAAGUUCUGGAUGAGAGCAUAUUGUGCUGGCGGCUCGCUAUCAUUCUCAGUUUUUGUUAACAUUGGUAAUAAAAUCAUACCAGCCUGAGAUGAAUCUGUCAACUUUUGAUUGACUUUUGGCCUAUUUUAAAAGGAACUUAAAAUAAAAAUAAAAACCCUUGUCUGUUUGCAGUGGCAAUGAGGGUGCUGUUUAGGACGGUAUUCACAAGAUGAUGAUUAAUUCAAUUUGUAUACUUCCCUCCAUACAAAGAUCCCAGGAUGGUUCACAACAGAAAAAUACUAAACGAGAACACAAAAAUAGAUAAUAAAACAAAAACAAUCCAAUAACCCCCUCUCCCACAAACACGCCUAAAAUGCACCCCUCAGGUGGUUGUGGUGGUAAGCAGCAUAACAGAUUUUUACUGGUGAUGUCACGGACUGGCUAGAUGCAGAGGAGAGGUGGGAGGUAAAGGACCCCUGGAUGGUUAAGUCCUAUGAAAGGCGACUAUGGGGUUGCAGCGCUCAUCUCGCUUUCAGGCCGAGGGAGCCGGCGUUUGUCCACAGACAGCUUUUCAGCUCAUGUGGCCAGGAUGACUAAACUGCUUCUGGUGCAACGGAACACCGUGAUGGAAACCAGAGCGCACGGAAAUGCCGUUUACCUUCCCGCCACAGCAAUACCUAUUUAUCUACUUGUACUGGUAUGCUUUCAAACUGCUAGGUUGGCAGGAGCUGGGACAGAGCAAGGGGACCUGGCCCUGUCGCGGGGAUUUGAACUGCUGACCUUCUGAUCGGCAGGCCCCAGAAGCUCAGUGGUUUAGACCACAGCAGCUAGGGAAUCCCUGGGGAUUAGGGGGGUCAUUAUGAUGAAUGGGCAGAGGAAGAAGACUGGGAGGUGGCACAGUUGGGAUUUUAAACACAAUUGCACUCAAUAGGAAUUACCUCCAAAUAACAGGCAGAGAAUUAUUAUUUAUUAUUAUUAUUAAACUUUUAUACUGCUUAGUUGCCCAGGUGGCUUCUAAGCAGUUUGUACAAGUAUAAAACCAAUUGUGAAAACUCACGUAAUUAAAACACACCAUAAAACCAUCUCAUCAAAACAUUAGCAUAAACAUGCACAAUUGGAAAGUGCAGUAAAGCAAGCCCAUUGAAACAGCACAACAAUUACAACGCUUAAAACAGCAAUUAAAGCAGGAGGUUCAAAGUCUGGAGGUUAGGGGAAUGCUUUCUAAAUAGGUGUGGCAGAAUGCUUUCUAAAGAGCUGGCAGAAGGCCAGGACAUAUGGGGCCUCUCAUAUUGUAGCAGGAGAGCAUUCCGCAACAUGUGAAAAUACUCACCUCUCUGCUAGUGCAAACAGAUCAUCAUCAGGCCGUCGUAAAAAAUAAUCAUAAUUGGGUUCCAUUUGUCAAAUCUCCAUGCACUUACUGGUAAAGGGCGGGGAAACCAUCUUUCAGGUAACUUGGUUCAGAGCUGUUUAGGUCUUGACACUUGAGUACCGCAAAACUGGUUCAGUGGUUUAUAGGAUCAGGCAGUUGGUUGAAGAACUGGCAGAGUUAAAAUGUAAUUAAUGCAGCUGAUAGUUGUUUUAUUUUUUCUAAAGCUACAAAGGACGGACCUUCAUUCUAACAUAUAGUAAGGUAAAGGUAAAGGGACCCCUGACCAUUAAGUCCAGUUGUGACCGACUCCGGGGUUGCGUGCUCAUCUUGCUCUAUAGGCUGAGGGAGCCAGUGUUGACUAAGUCGCUUCUGGUGAACCAGAGCAGCACAUGGAAACGCCGUUUACCUUCCCGGCGGAGUGGUACCUAUUUAUCUACUUGCAGUUUGAUGUGCUUUCAAACUGCUAGGUUGGCAGGAGCAGGGACCGAGCAACGGGAGCUCACCCCAUCACGGGGAUUCGAACUGCUGACCUUCCGAUCGGCAAGUCCUAGCUCUGUGGUUUAACCCACAGCGCCACCCGCGUCCCUAUAACAUUAUAGUAGCAAUUUCCAAUUUAACAGGUAAAAGCUAUAGCACAAUUCCCUCAGUGUCUUUUUAAGAACUCUAGAUCAGGGGUCAGUAAGGUUUACUCCAGCGGAGAUCCCUCUGUGGGCCGGAUCGUGUGUGUGUGUGAGAGAGAGUGCGCGCCCCCACGAUUUCUGGCACCUGCGCUGACGUGAUUUCCGGUGCAUCGAAAGUGAUUCCCUGCGCCGCGCUGGUUUAGUGCCGCAUGAGGAGACUCGCCGAGUGGCUGGCUUGGUUCAGAAGCGGCUUGUGGGCCGGUUAAAUUACCCCUGUGGGCCACUUGUGGCCUAUGGGCCUUAGGUUGCCGACCGCUGCUCUAGAUCAAGGAUGGGAAAUCUGUGGCUCUCCAAAUGUUGUUGAACUGCAACUCACCUCUGUGACCUUGCUCUCUGGGACAGAUGGGAAUCGGAGUCCGACAACAUCUGGCGGACCACUGGUUCUCCAUCUAUGCGGAAAGUGAAAGCUUGAAUGUGCUCAAAUUUAUUUAAAUAUAUGUAAUUUAGUCAGAUGGAUUAGAUUACUUGGGCAAUCAGUUAAAAGACCAGCCACUAGUAGGAUAAUAGGCCUUUAAUUUGUCGAUAGCACUCCUGAUUUAUCUUAUUGCCUCCCCCCCCCCCCAUCUCUCUGCCCACAAAGAAGAAGAAAACCCAGCAGGAUAGCUCAGCUGGUAGAGCACAAUACUCAGGGUCAUCGGUUUGGGAAAACGGUUCUUGCCUUGUGAGGGGGGCUGGACUAGAGGAUCCUUGUGGUCCCUUCCAGCUCUACAAUACUAUGAUUCUAGGAAGAUGAAUUUCAUAUAAGCUUUCCUGUUGUGCUAAAAAAAAACAUGAGAAACUUGACAUCUUUCCUCAGGGCCUGCAAGACAGAGCUGUUCCACCAGGCCUUUGGCCAAGGCACAGUCUGACCCCUUCCUUUGGAAAUCCCCAUAGAACUCUAGCCCAAUGGUUGCCAUUAAUUUGAAUCUUGAUUGAUUUUAGAAUGAAUUGAUUUUAGAAUGUAUUUCAAUUAAUUGACUGUGAUUUUAUGUAAACUGUGUUAUUUUUACUGUUGUUAGCUGCUCUGAGCCCGGCUUCAGCUGGGGAGGGUGGGAUAUAAAUAAAACUUUAUUAUUAUUAUUAUUAAUAUGAUUUGAUUAUAUCUAUCUUUACACUCACACGCUGUAUGGUUAUCUACUAUACAGAAAUAGUUACACUUAAAAAAAAAAGCUAAUAAAAAGAUUUUUUUUUAAAAACAGCAACACUUGGUGAUCCAUGUAAAAGUAGGAUGAAGGAUCUGUGGCCCUCCAGUCGUUUCCAAACUCCAGUUCCCACCAGUGCCAACCAGCACAUCCAGUGACCAGUGAUGAUGGGCAGCUGGAGUCUAAGCAAAAGACCAUCCUUGUUCCAUAUUUUAGAUACACGUUAGCACCAAACUAUCUCUAAGGAGGCAUGAGCUGUCACCCAGCAAUCAAAUCAAGAGUCAGGCAGGCAGUUUGGACUGGUGCCUGUUGACGUUCUCAUACGUGGGAAAUUUCCUCCUGUGCUCCUCAUUGUUUCUGGGGGAAUACACAGCCGGUGUUUAUUCUUAAUUAGACCUAAUGUAUGUGAGAAGUACCUAGAUAAAUGGCAGAUUGAGGCUUAUCCUGCAUGCAUAAUGGGGCAGCUAAUAAGGCGGGAAAGAGGCAUUGUCUUGCUGAAGGCUCCCUGGUUUCUUUCCUCUCCCAUUCAUUACUGCGGGGGGGGGGGGUCCCCCAGUCCCUUUGCACUUCCAUGGCAAUGCAACUGGGCCUUCAUGCAGGUGAUAAUCCGAGAUGGAAAAUCCAUUCCAUGGAUCAUCAGCCCCGGACAUCAUGCUGGCAGCAUUUAAUAGCAGUCAGCUUUUGAUGGCAAAAGUUAUCUGGCUGUUGUCUAAAGGGGCGGGGCGGGGUGGGGGUGGGGAGUCCCUUUGGUAAGCCAAGUCAAUGUUAACCCGAGCUGUUUUGGUUGAGCUCUGUUUGUGUUGAUUUUGAAAUCUCCUGUGGAAAGGUCCCCACUCUUCCCUGAAAUACGAAUGAAUGCAUCUGUCCAUUUCAGUUCAUGGGCGUUUCUCAUUUAUUACAUUCAUUUCUCCAAAUUCCUGCAUCAAUUUGUGGGUUUUUCCAAGUACUCAUGAAAAUUUUAGUGCAAAUUUCCCCUAGUAUAUACGCAUUUUUGUGUGCUACUUUGUCUAAUAUGCAUAUUAUUAAGGUUUUAAACACUGUAUGUGCACACGCACACACACACACACAAAACACACUGCAUGCACAGAUAUGUGUGUGUGUGAGUGAAAUAAUAAAUGUUUUUGCAUUUGCAUUAAGAAAAAUAAAAUCUAUUUUAUAUGUUACUUUCUAAAAAACACACACACAAAAAACAACUUUGUACGGUUCUCUCCUCUUCACUUCAAAUGUAAUGUAAAACGUUCUUAUCCCUUGUGCCAAGGAAACUACAGCAAAAGAAAGGAAAAUCGCUCAUAUGUGGUCACAGCCACCAUGGAGCUUCUUUGAGAAAACACGUGUCUCACACUUCCUGUUUUAAGACUGCAUAACUAGAACUGAAUUUUCGUAUAUAAUAAAAAAUAUAACACAACACACCCACCGGUCCCAUAACAUUAAUAUGAAUUAUGCUUAUCACGCCAUAGAGCUCCGAUGCGAACUAAGGCAGGACACCAUCUCUUUCCAGUGAAGCACAUCCCUGUAUCUUUUUGUAGCUUGGUUCUUUUGAUGGAAGCAACUUUGGGAAUGGGUAGGGUAGGUGUCUCCGGGCCUCAAUCAACCAAUUGUACUGGGUGUUACAGAUAAUGGGUCAUUGCCUUCCUUGGGUGUCCCUGGGUGGCUCAGCAACCACUCUUGAAAGCCAGCCGUGAUGCUUUGAUUUUGCCGAGCUGUAAAAUGCAGCUGCUUAGGCCUGAUGGUUGACUGCAGGCAUUUAAUUCUUUGCUGUGGGUGGGAGUGAAGAGAAGGCCAUCUGUUCCUGUUGAGGCGUGUGGCCGGAUGCUUCUGGGAAGGGAAAUCUCAGCAGUAACAUCUAAGUUGUUAGUGGGUGAUGAGAUCCAAGGCUCAGCUUGUCCACCAAUCCUUCUUAUCUUGACCAGACAGAU